ensembl:lncRNA
UUCUAUCUGUGCAUCUGAGGAAUCGGGAGCCUUUUGCCCCUCGGCGCCCGAGGAAAUAAUGAGGUGCCAACGGAGAGUCACAGCUCCACCGCUAAACAGCGAGUGCAAAAACCCAGCGAAGAUUGUGGCACAAGGAAGACGAGGCCUGAGAAACUCGUUCCACUUGGUGCUCGGGGCUCGGGGGGCGAGAUCACGCUCGAUCCUUAGCAGCAUGCCGCUGCGCAGUGCCAGCGGUGAGGCUGUGUGCCCGCCAACUCUUUUGUUUCCCUCAGAGUUGUUCCCACCUCCGGGAUCCACGCUCCACUGUUCACGUGCAACAACUGGAGCAAUUACAAGCGCAGCGAUUGCACACGAGUGUCCGUGUGUGUUUGUAAUUCGUUAAGCUCCGACAUAUCCACCCAGAGAGGGGAGGAGGAAAAAAAUUUGCUUUCAGUGGCAGUGGUGGAGCCAGAGAGAGGGGAAGAGAGAGGGCGACCUGGCCACGUUUGGAACAUUUGGUUCGUGCUGUGAACACUAUUGCGCAAUAAUGUAAUUCAGAUAGUGCUGGGCAGCAUGG